rnacentral:rRNA from 1 species
UACGGAGGGUGCGAGCGUUGUCCGGAAUCACUGGGCGUAAAGGGCGCGUAGGCGGCGCGGAAAGUCGUCGGUGAAAGCUCGGGGCUCAACCCUGAGUCUGCCGGUGAUACUCCCGCGCUCGAGCUCACUAGAGGCAGAUGGAAUUCCGGGUGUAGCGGUGGAAUGCGUAGAGAUCCGGAAGAACACCGGUGGCGAAGGCGGUCUGCUGGGGUGAGGCUGACGCUGAUGCGCGACGAGCGUGGGAGCAAACAGG